AAAAAAAAAACCUAAUGACUAGUUGUCCCUAAAAAAUCAGUCAUUGAUCGUUCAAAGAACUAAUCACUUGAAAAAAUUAACAUUUGUUUGUUGAUAAAACUGUCGUUUAGUUAAACCAUAAAAUCAAAUGAUUUGGCAUUUAGUUUGCAUUCAUAAUUGUAUUACUGGUAAUCAAUUUUAAGAUAUACGACGAUUGAUCCGACAAAACAAUGGGCGAUAGCAAUGAUUUGGACGGUGUCUACGAUAACAAGUUGUGGGCAACUUUGUCUCAACGACAACGUGUCAGAAAUUAUAUUGAAGAAAAAAUUGGUAAACCAUUUGUCCAAAUGGAGGAACAAUUCUUUCAAAUGGCCACAAGAAAAGAACUGUAUCUCACAUAUGUUGUCCGAUUUGUAUCUAAAACCAAAGAGAUGAUGCGUCAAAAGCUGUAACACUAAUGUUGAUGUAUUGGACGGAUCAGACAGCGGAUGACACC